UACGUAGGGUGCAAGCGUUGUCCGGAAUUAUUGGGCGUAAAGAGCUUGUAGGCGGUCUGUCGCGUCUGCUGUGAAAAUCCGGGGCUCAACCCCGGACUUGCAGUGGGUACGGGGCAGACUAGAGUGUGGUAGGGGAGACUGGAAUUCCUGGUGUAGCGGUGAAAUGCGCAGAUAUCAGGAGGAACACCGAUGGCGAAGGCAGGUCUCUGGGCCACUACUGACUGAGAAGCGAAAGCAUGGGGAGCAACGG
rnacentral:rRNA from 1 species